CACCCCCCCUUCCUCCAGGCUUCUCAUCUGUAACUGGUGAAGCCCGGAAGAGCUUGUUGUUCAAGAGGAAAUCUUGUGUUACUUCUUUAUGAAGGACUCCAGCCUGGUGGAGAUGAAUGAGUCCUGAAGAUGGAAUCGAAGCUGUUUGGGCACAAACAAGGUUUCACUCUUGUUGCCCAGGCUGGAGUGCAAUGGUGUGAUCUAGGCUCACUGCAACCUCCACCUCCCGGGUUCAAGUGAUUCUCCUGUCUCAGGCUCCCAAGUAGGUGGGAUUACAGUACUUUAAUCAGCAUUUAAUGACCCAGUCGAAAAUUCAUUGUUUGGACCCAAGCACUGGUGGGAAAGGCAGGAGGGGAGGCCUGCCUUCCUUCCUCCCUCCCGAGCCCUACAGCAGGCCAUGGAGUGGUGAGCGAGUUCGUACAGUGCCAACCACAUUCCCAGAAACUUCCAGCAGAGGUUAAUCCUGCUCCUCUCAGGUGGGCUUGGCCCAUUCUCUAGACUUUGGAAGGUAAUGUUCUAUAGAGGCCUGUUCUGAAGCUUUACCAGGUCAAACCGGAGAAGAACCCAACAAGUAACUCAUCCCAGCCUAACUAUUCUUCAAGGGCAAUCAACCUACAGCAUCCAAGCACAGAGAAAUCAAAUCCAUGGAGAAUCUUCAAA
rnacentral:lncRNA from 1 species